rnacentral:rRNA from 1 species
AGCGAACGCUGGCGGCAGGCUUAACACAUGCAAGUCGAGCGGGCGUAGCAAUACGUCAGCGGCAGACGGGUGAGUAACGCGUGGGAACGUACCUUUUGGUUCGGAACAACACAGGGAAACUUGUGCUAAUACCGGAUAAGCCCUUACGGGGAAAGAUUUAUCGCCGAAAGAUCGGCCCGCGUCUGAUUAGCUAGUUGGUGAGGUAACGGCUCACCAAGGCGACGAUCAGUAGCUGGUCUGAGAGGAUGAUCAGCCACAUUGGGACUGAGACACGGCCCAAACUCCUACGGGAGGCAGCAGUGGGGAAUUUUGCGCAAUGGGGGAAACCCUGACGCAGCGAUGCCGCGUGGAGGACGAAGGUCUUCGGAUUGUAAACUCCUUUUGUCGGUGAAAACAUUCGCGUGAAUAACGUGAACUGAUUGUAUCCGGCGAAUAAGCCACGGCUAACUUCGUGCCAGCAGCCACGGUAAUUGCGACGACA